GAUUAAAAAUUUUAUUUAUUUUUAUUGUUAAAAACCAGUGUGACUGACGAAACAACCGUCAAUUACACAUAGCGUGCCAUAUUUACCUUACACCCAUGUACAAUGGUCAGAUUUUAAUAGUAGAAAUAGAUGAUUUUUUUAACA
rfam:Gossypium hirsutum cultivar TM-1 chromosome 20, whole genome shotgun sequence